AGGACAAACGCUGGCGGCGUGCUUAACACAUGCAAGUCGAACGGAAAGGCCCUUUCGGGGGUACUCGAGUGGCGAACGGGUGAGUAACACGUGGGUGAUCUGCCCUGCACUUCGGGAUAAGCUUGGGAAACUGGGUCUAAUACCGGAUAGGACUACGAAUCGCAUGGUUUGUGGUGGAAAGCUUUUGCGGUGUGGGAUGGGCCCGCGGCCUAUCAGCUUGUUGGUGGGGUGAUGGCCUACCAAGGCGACGACGGGUA
rnacentral:rRNA from 1 species